GAGACAUCAUGUGUGGUGACAAAACAUUAACACUGUCUUGAUCAAAUCUUCUGGUUGAUGAUGAUGAAAAGCUAAGCCUCAGAUUGCUUUUCCAACGCUUAGGGCUUUUAACUUGUACUGCUUGAUCUUGAGCUUUCUUCCCUUGGCGUACAAAUGUUCUGAUCCUUUUGAGUGCAACUUCCACAGUCUCGUCAUCCAUGUUUGCAAAACAAACCCUAAACCAACCAGGCUCCACGCACUUAAAAGAAGACCCUGGGGAGACAUUGAGCCCCACUUCAUUCACAAUCACACGCCAAAGCACCAUCUCACCAUCAAAUGUUUGAUCUUUCAACA
rnacentral:lncRNA from 1 species